rnacentral:rRNA from 1 species
GACGAACGCUGGCGGCGUGCUUAACACAUGCAAGUCGAACGGAAAGGCCCUGCUUUUGUUGGGUGCUCGAGUGGCGAAAGGUUGAGUAACACGUGAGUAACCUGCCCUUGACUUUGGGAUAACUUCAGGAAACUGGGGCUAAUACCGGAUAGGAGCUCCUGCUGCAUGGUGGGGGUUGGAAAGUUUCGGCGGUUGGGGAUGGACUCGCGGCUUAUCAGCGUGUUGGUGGGGUAGUGGCUUACCAAGGCUUUGACGGGUAGUCGACCUGAGAGGGUGACCGGGCACAUGGGGACUGAGAUAGGGAGCAGAAUCCUACGGGAGGCAGCAGUGGGAAAUAUGGCACAAUGGGGGGAAGCCUGAUGAAGAAACGCCGCGUGCGGGAUGACGGCCUUCGGGGUGUAAACCGCUUUCGCCUGUGAUGAAGCGUGAGUGACGGUAAUGGGUAAAGAAGCAACGGCUAACUACGUG